rnacentral:rRNA from 1 species
GUAGUCCACGCCGUAAACGAUGAAUGCUAGGUGUUAGGGGUUUCGAUACCCUUGGUGCCGAAGUUAACACAUUAAGCAUUCCGCCUGGGGAGUACGGUCGCAAGACUGAAACUCAAAGGAAUUGACGGGGACCCGCACAAGCAGUGGAGUAUGUGGUUUAAUUCGAAGCAACGCGAAGAACCUUACCAGGUCUUGACAUCCCUCUGAAUACGUUAGAGAUAGCGUAGGCCUUCGGGACAGAGGAGACAGGUGGUGCAUGGUUGUCGUCAGCUCGUGUCGUGAGAUGUUGGGUUAAGUCCCGCAACGAGCGCAACCCUUGAUCUUAGUUGCCAGCACCUCGGGUGGGCACUCUAAGAUGACUGCCGGUGACAAACCGGA